AAAAAAAAAAAAAAAAAAAGUUUUCUGUAUCAAUGAUAUGACCACAACUGCAAUUCUUAACAGUCUUCAAACCAAAACCAAUUCUAUAACAAUCAACCAUUGAAUCUCUGCAGUACCGCUUUGCCAUCCCCAAGCCCAGGGCCACGAACCAAAACAAGGAUUUGGAUUGAAAUAAAGCCUCCAAAAUUUGUAGCAAGCUUUAAGACUUGUUCAUCUAUGCUCAACCACAUCAAAUUUCUAACAACUACCAUUUAGUCAUAUUGUGACUCACUAAUGUUGAAAUGUAUAUUUUGGGUAUUCAUUCAGCUGGAUACCAGAAAAAAUAAAUUUUAUAAAUCAAACCACAUAUAAGAUUUUAUGGGCUACAUAACAAAAUUCACAGUGAGGAUUCAAACUUCCUUUAAUUAGAAUCUAAUCAAUAUAAAGUAGAACCACCUUAAGGCAUCACAGAUAAAAUUAUAAAAA
rnacentral:misc_RNA from 1 species